rnacentral:lncRNA from 1 species
UGGUUGAAAUUACUGUAUAUAGUUACUGUAUAGUUCCAGAAGUGCUCAAGGUCUAGUUUUAUAAAAGAUUGUUUGAGACUUCCCUGGUGGCUCAGAUGGUAAAGCGUCUGUCUACAAUGCGGGAAACCUGGAGGAUCUUCCCAGCCCAGGGAUCAAAUCCUCAUCUCACGCAUUGGUAGGCAGAUUCUUUACCACUGUGCCACUUAGGAAGCCCAAUUUGAUCAUUAUUAAAAUAAUAAACAGCAAACCAUACAGUGAAGUGUUUCUUUCCUCAGUGUCAUUGCUAUGUGAUAGAAAUUUAUGGCUAAGAAAGGCCAUGUGAUAUAAUGAAAAGAGCACUAAGUGAGGAGUCAAGGAGAUAAGGAUCCCAGUUCUGGCUGUAAUGCAAACAGACUAGAGGUCACUGGGCAGGUCACUUACAAGUUAAGGUGGGUCUCAUUUUGUUAAUGUGUAAAAGGAAAAUAUAAUCAUCCUGAAACCAUCCCACCUGUCCUUGGUCCAUGGAAAAAUUGUCUUCCAUGAAACCAGUCCCUGGUGCCAAAAAGGUUGGGGGAACCACUGGCUUAAAUGACAAAAUAAAGGAUUUCAUAGUAAAUAAGAAAUAUGAUCUAUUGUAUUUGGUAGCCUGGAAAAAAUUCAAGUAGAAUCAAAAUAAAAUUCAAAUUAGUAGCAUUACCAUAAAAAUAUAGAAUCAAAAUAAGGAAGGAGCACUUCAUGAUUUUAUAUUAUGUUCGCAGUUGCUAAUCUGUAUAUGUGUUUUAUCUUUCUAAAUAAAUUGGCAUAAAAUAGUU